AACAGAGAAGAGUCUUCAAGAAGGCAGAAGAUAGAGAGAGGUCAUGAAUUGUGGCUGUGGGUGGAGGAACAGGUCGUGAAGGUGUGGUGUUGCUGAGGGCCCCGUGGACGGAUUGGAGAAAGCAUGGCAGCGACUGUCAAGGGCAGUGUCUGGGAAGAUCGGUAAUGGAUAUUACAGAGGGGAUUGGCUUCUUGGAUUCCUGUAAAGAUGUUCAUCUGUCCAACUGCCUGUCACUGGGCUCCAGCCAAUCAGUUCGCAAGUCCGGAAAUAAUAAAUGUUGAUCCGUCAUCAGUGGUGACCAAACGCAUGUAUGCGAAACCUCAUGCCAGCCGUCGAUGUGACAUACUGUAAACAAAGGACUGGAUCUGAGAUGUUCCUUAACUCACAGACACAGAACACAGGUUACAUCACAUCUGCCUUAAUCCAGAACAAAUAAAGCAAUGCAUUGUAUUUUUUAAUCAUGACAUGCUUUUUUCGUGAAAGCAGUAAAAUAAUUUUAAUGCAAUGCUCAAUUAUAUCACUUAGAUAAAUCAUUGGGAGAUAUGGCAAGUUAAUCAGUUCAAGAACCCUGGUUAUGCGACUGCAAUGUGAGGCAUGUGAAGAAUUGCACCUUCGUCUGGCAUGUGAAGAAAUGUUAAUGAGCAACUAAAUUAGCAUUUCCUGAAAUAAAUACCAGUGCUUGUAAGAGAAUAGUGUUUCAGUUUUAGGUUUGAAUUACCGGUAGGUUUAGGUUUUUUCAGAGCCACUUUAAUCUCGAUAUUCAUAUAAAAACUUAGCAGAUGUCACGUAAUGUGAUGUUGCCAUGUCAAAGCAGCUAUAGUGAAAAUAAAUUAAAUCAGUCAGCCAAGUUAAAAACAUUACAACCCCUUGAAAAG